AUUCGGCUGACGAGUUCGAAAUAGGACGAAACGCGCGUCCUGGAU
rnacentral:hammerhead_ribozyme from 1 species